UACGGGGGGAGCAAGCGUUGUUCGGAUUUACUGGGCGUAAAGGGCGCGUAGGCGGCGCAACAAGUCACUUGUGAAAUCUCCGGGCUUAACCCGGAGCGGUCAAGUGAUACUGUCGUGCUAGAGUGCGGAAGGGGCUACUGGAAUUCUCGGUGUAGCGGUGAAAUGCGUAGAUAUCGAGAGGAACACCGGUGGCGAAGGCGGCCUUCUGGACAGUGACUGACGCUGAGACGCGAAAGCGUGGGGAGCAAACAGG
rnacentral:rRNA from 1 species